GACCAACGCUGGCGGCGUGCGUAACACAUGCAAGUCGAACGGGCGCAGCAAUGCGUCAGUGGCGGACGGGUGAGUAACACGUGGAUGAUCUGUCCUUCCGGUGGGGGAUACCGUGCAGAAAUGUGCGUUAAGCCCGCAUACGUCCUUCCUGGGCCGCCAGGGAGGGGAAAACCUGUGGGUGCCGGAGGAGGAGUCCGCGGCCGAUUAGCUAGUUGGUGCGGUAAGAGCGCACCAAGGCGACGAUCGGUAGCUGGUCUGAGAGGAUGGUCAGCCACACUGGGAUUGAGAACGGCCCAGACUCCUACGGGGGGCAGCAGUGGGGAAUUUUGGACAAUGGGGGCAACCCUGAUCCAGCCAUUCCGCGUGAGUGAAGAAGGCCUUCGGGUUGUAAAGCUCUUUUGUCCGGAACGAAACGGUGCUCGUGAAUAUCGAGCGCUACUGACGGUACCGGAAGAAUAAGCACCGGCUAACUACGUGCCAGCAGCCGCCGUAAUAC
rnacentral:rRNA from 1 species